UCGUUAGUGCAUUAAGGAAGGAAAAAAAACAUACACAGCUGUCCACAAUCUGCACAAGAGGAAUAUAUCAAAACUCUUUUAAGGGCACAGCUGCAAACACAGGAGGAAAAGCCUUCGUGUUGAUCCGUCAAACAAAGCACCGCAUUUAUUCCGCACUGACUGCUACAAUGGUGUGACAACUGUGAACGCCCCUUUGCCAGACUCCGUCACUGAAGUGAAUACAGUCUCUGGAAAACAUGGAGGAAUUUUCUCACUCUUACAUAUCGGAAUAUGGAGACAUUGAGGAUAUAGAGGAGGAGGAGGAAGAAGAGGAGA